CGUUCAUUGGAGGAAUCGAUCGCCAUAGCGUAUCCGUCGAGGGAGUUGUGUUCCUUGGUCGAGGCUGUUGUGGCCUCUGCUGUGAUACCUUGGAAUUAGUAUUUUCUCUGUCGUUUAUCGUUUUAAAGAACGUUAAUUAGUGGCAAUGCGACGCCAAGCAAACGGGUAUGUGGACAGGCGCGGCGGGGGUGGUCGAGGAAGAGGAAAUAUGUACCGAGGACGAGGUGGCCAACGAGGAGGAGGUCGUGGCGGCGGGAUCCACAAGCCGCCGCCGCUCAUGUCGCGUCCCCUGCCACCCCCACCUGGUAUGCGACGCCCUCCCAACAUGGGCCCCCCCAGAGGUCCCAUGGGACCACCACCCAUGCCCAUGGGGAUGGGACCGCCCCCAGGUCGUAUGGGUCCCCCUGGACCCGGCCGGAGACCCAAUCAUAUGGGUCUUCCUGGGCGAAUGGUAGGGCGACCUAUGGGGGGCCCUGGGCGACUUGGUCCUCCUGGUCCAGGAAGAUUGGGCCCCCCUGGCCCUAGACCUCUAGGACUUGGUAGAGGAAUGGGUCCCCCACCACCCAGGGGUGGCAUGGGACCAAGAGGUAGAGGAGCGAUGCAGGGCAUGUUGCCUCCGCCACCAAUGGGUCCACCUUUUAGACCCCCAGGGCCUGGCAUGAUGGGCCCCCCAAGACCACCUAUGAGAGGCAGAGGGCGAGGUCGAGGUGCAACUCGGGGACGUGGAGCUACAAGAGGACGUGGUGGUGGGAUAUCCAUGAUAAAGAACAAGGACAAGCAGGGAGAAAUGAACAAACCUUGGGUAACAGAAAGCAUGAAAAAUGAAAUUAUGAAGAAACACAAACUUCACCAGAAGGCCAAGAAGACCAAGAGCAAAGAGGACUGGGACGAGUUUAAGGAACAGCGGAAUAAAGUGACGACUAUGCUACGGGAGGCCAAACUGGAGUACAUAGGAGCACACCCAGAAGAGUGAUCACCAUGUGGCUGGGUGGCACCAGUACAUGCAGCAAGAGCAUCACCAACUGAGUGGUGCAUCACUCAGAUGUUAUGGUUGACAAGCAAUACCAGUGCUUGUACACCUCUUUCACAAUUCCCUCUGUCAUCCUUUGCCCUGGCAUAUACCAUCAUGGACCCAAAGGAUGUAUGUAGUUAGAAAAUGGCGCAUCAUCAACAUGAAACUUUUCGUUGACACCAGAAGCUGAGAAAGACUUUUCCUGCAUAUCAGCCUACCUUCAGGAAUUGAUGAGUGAAGGAUUCAGGUAUGAAAGGUAUGGCAUCAGCAGGAUGGAUUAUUCUUUGUAUUUUAUAAUAAAGUUACUAUAUUA
rnacentral:misc_RNA from 1 species